rnacentral:rRNA from 1 species
AUUGAACGCUGGCGGCAGGCCUAACACAUGCAAGUCGAGCGAGCGGCGGACGGGUGAGUAAUGUCUGGGAAACUGCCUGAUGGAGGGGGAUAACUACUGGAAACGGUAGCUAAUACUGCAUACCAUCAGAUGUGCCCAGGUGGGAUUAGCUAGUAGGUGGGGUAACGGCUCACCUAGGCGACGAUCCCUAGCUGGUCUGAGAGGAUGACCAGCAACACUGGAACUAAGAGACGGUCAAGACUCCUACGUGAGGCAGCAGUGGGGAAUAUUGCACAAUGGGCGGAAGCCUGAUGCAGCCAUGCAGCGUGUGUGAAAAAGGCCGUCGGGUUGGAAAGAACUUUCAGCGGGGAGGCGUUACCGGCAGAAGAAGCACCGGCUAACUCCGUGCCAGCAGCCACGGUAAUUC